UACGUAGGUGACCAGCGUUGUCCGGAUUUACUGGGCGUAAAGAGCGCGCAGGCGGUCGUUCAAGUCGAGUGUGAAAGCCCCCGGCUCAACUGGGGAGGGUCACUCGAUACUGAUCGACUUGAAGGCAGGAGAGGGAAGCGGAAUUCCCGGUGUAGUGGUGAAAUGCGUAGAUAUCGGAAGGAACAUCAGUGGCGAAAGCGGCUUCCUGGACC
rnacentral:rRNA from 1 species